rnacentral:rRNA from 1 species
AUUGAACGCUGGCGGCAGGCCUAACACAUGCAAGUCGAGCGGAUGAAGGGAGCUUGCUCCUGGAUUCAGCGGCGGACGGGUGAGUAAUGCCUAGGAAUCUGCCUGGUCGUGGGGGAUAACGUCCGGAAACGGGCGCUAAUACCGCAUACGCCCUGAGGGAGAAAGUGGGGGAUCUUCGGACCUCACGCUAUCAGAUGAGCCUAGGUCGGAUUAGCUAGUUGGUGGGGUAAAGGCCUACCAAGGCGACGAUCCGUAACUGGCCUGAGAGGAUGAUCAGUCACACUGGAACUGAGACACGGUCCAGACUCCUACGGGAGGCAGCAGUGGGGAAUAUUGGACAAUGGGCGAAAGCCUGAUCCAGCCAUGCCGCGUGUGUGAAGAAGGUCUUCGGAUUGUAAAGCACUUUAAGUUGGGAGGAAGGGCAGUAAGUUAAUACCUUGCUGUUUUGACGUUACCAACAGAAUAAGCACCGGCUAACUUCGUG